UACAGAGGGGGCAAGCGUUAUUCGGAAUUAUUGGGCGUAAAGGGCGCGUAGGCGGCUUGGCAAGUGGAAGGUGAAAUCCCUCGGCUUAACCGAGGAACUGCCCUCCAAACUGCUUCGCUUGAGACCGGGAGAGGUGAGUGGAAUUCCCAGUGUAGCGGUGAAAUGCGUAGAUAUUGGGAGGAACACCAGUGGCGAAGGCGGCUCGCUGGACCGGUACUGACGCUGAUGCGCGAAAGCGUGGGGAGCAAACGGG
rnacentral:rRNA from 1 species